GUGGCCACUCCGUGUGCCCGCGAACCCCCGCGGGUCCCUGCCACCCUCACAGUGGGGCACCCGAGCCCUGGCUUGCCCUCAGCCCGUUCACAUUCGGACCCUUGUCCCCAGAACACACCCUCCUCACCCCCACAUCUUUGCACAGACCGAUCCGGUGACUGCCUCCGAGCCCUGCACCCGCUCAGCUGCUGACUGUCCCCCUGCUGGUGUCUCCUACCUCCCGUGACAGGCCCGGUGUCCCCCUGAGAGCUGGUGCUCUCGCCGCUCCCCCCAUCACAGCGGCUCCCGCCCGUGUGGCGCUGCCUUACCCCCCACCCCCCGUGCUGUGAGCUCCCCCGGGAGGAGCCGUCCCGCUUCCCGGCCUGGGUGCACACCGGCACCGAGCCUGGCUCGGGGCCGGAGCCCAGGACCCCAGUAUAUGACUCGGGGGGACGACUCGGCGAGGGCCAUAGCCAGAAGGAAGAGUUGAGGGAAUUCGUUUCUGAUGGGCAAGACCCCAGCAAGGAGUCACUGUAGCAAGUGGGGGCCGCGGGGGGGCCUCCCGCGCGGUGGUCAUCCCCCCCGGGUCCGUGAUGACAGUCCCCAUGGUCUGCCACGCUGUCGCCUUCCGCGAUGGUGACCGGGCCUGUCCACGUUGCCCUGAGCAACAGGUGGGCCGGCUUGUGCUCGGUUUCCCUGGGCGCCUGAGGCGGCCUCCUCCCUGCCUCCACCAGCCCCACUGUGCAGACCAGGCCCGUCCUAGACGUGUGGACGCCCAGACCGGCCCACGGGCGCAGUGCUUUGAAAGAGGUCCCCUGGCCUCCGUGUCUCAUGAGCAUUAGGAAAAGGCAUUUCAGAUUUCCAGAUGCGUUUUUCUUAAACGGCAGAGUCCCGUGUGCACAGUCGAUUUUAAUCCCUCUGAUGGGGGCGCAGGGAAUUAUGUCCUCGUCUGAUUUUAUAGAACCUUUCCCCAGCUGUUACCACGUGGAGUUUGGAAAGCACAGUCGUGAGGCCUUCAGGAGAACAUACGUGUUUUGUUACCACCUUUCCUGUCUCCGGCAGUGUGUUAGAUGUGUGCGCGUGUGGGAGAGACAGAUAGGGAGACGGGGACAGAGGGAGAGGCUGGGGUUCUCCCUGAACACUUAGCCGCCUCAGCUCCGUGAGCAUGGCCAUUGGGAAGAGCAAGAUGGGGCCUGGUCUGCGCCCAGAGCCUGACCGAGCUCACUGCCUCCCAAAAGCUGUUGAGUGGUUCCGAACAAGAAAGAACGUUCCCGAGCUUUCCUUGAUGUGCCUCCAGGUAACUCAUUCUCUUGGGUUGAAUCUUUAAAAUGUCUUGGACAAAUUUCUGCUCAUUUCUUCUACUUGGUUUCUCCGUUGUGUAUUCUUUGUAAAGCGUAGGAGACAAGGUUGCGCUCCGUACGCAUUAACGUGCUGAUUCCUACGCUGAGGCGUGUUCCUUCGUGUCUGAGCCGGGCCCCGCUGCCUCUGCUCUCAAGCCACCCGGUGCUGAGAGACACUCAGAGGCGAGAGGCGGGGCCGUGGCUCCGGGCGCCUGCGGGAGGACCUCGUGGGACGCCGCGUGUGGCCUCACCAAGUUCCCCGAAGCCCGCUGAAAGUGGCCAGAGUAGCGGGCAGUUCCCAGGGCGGCCGUCGGAAGUCUGGUCCCAGUGGCAAAGCCAGCACCACGGCCCGCAGAGCGGUGAGCAGCACUCCCACCAGCAGUCCGGUCAGGCCGAAGUGUUCCAGGACAUGCUGCCCAUGCCCGGAGAUCCGACCCAGGGGACCGGCAACUAUAACAUUGAAGACUUCGCGGACCUGGGCAUGUUCCCGCCGUUUUCUGAGUAGCGGCAGGCAGAUUGCGGCCGGCGCUGGGCAGUGCCCCCCACGCGCGCGGGACCCCCCCACGCCCUGCUUGCCCCGCCUGCCCCGCCACGGGACCCCCCAGCGGAAGGCCUCUCACCCCCAUGCUCCCCCCAGCACAGCAUCGCUCAGCCUGCAGCCGGGGCUGCCCGGCCACCCACCAGGAGCCCUGGUGGAUACUGGGGAGUUGCUGUAUUUAUUGUACUCUUAUCUGUGUAUGCUUGGGAGGUGAGCCCGUCGGGUCCUGGAGGUCUGGUUGUGAAUAAUCUCAUAGCAGACAGUGUCCACCUAUAAAACGUCCGGUCCCCGUCCCAAGUGCCCAGGCCUGCCCAGGACACGGGAAUGGGUUUCUUCUUGCCUUUGACAUCUGUGGAUGGGUGGGGCUCGGGUGCUGGAAGGGAGGCGAGCAGGAUGCACGGCCUUUGUUCUCCGAGCUGGGACCCAGAGGUGGACCCCGCUCCCCGUUCCCAGCUCAGCCAAGUCUGUGUGUGCGUCCGUCCAUCCGUCAUGCUGUGGGAUGUGUGUACUCUGUGCGGUGUGAUGUGAAUCCCUGUCCUGAUGGGUGUGCUAUGCCCCGUACGUGCCGUGUGGCCAGAGUGAGCGUCCAGAAUCCAGGGGCCCCCCCGCGCAGCCCCCACCCCCAGCGCAGCACCCCCUGGCUGGAGGGAGCUUGGCCCAGGGCCUGGGCGCCGGGCUGGGCGGAGCAGGCUGACGUUCCAUGGUGUCGCCGGGAGUCGUGGCUGGGAACCUGCUUGCCUUCGUGGGUCAGCUCCCGGGUGCAGGCGCCCCUCUGAGAGGAAGCGGCCCCCUCCUCUUCCAGGAGGCCCCCGAGGGAGCACUGGCCCUUCCUGGUUACGCGCAGGUGUCUCCCCCCUGGUUCCCAGCCAGCGCCUGCCAAGGGCACACCUUGAGGUCACAGAGCCCGAGGCCCUUCUGCAGAGGACUGGACAGGAAGGCAGGACGUCCGGGCCUCGGCGGCCACAUUACGCUCAGCAGCUCUGGAGCUGGUUCAGGUGUGGUCCCGUGCGUGGAGACAGGAGUUCAGAAACCUCUCCCAGCAGGCCGCCUGGCCUUCCUUCUGCAGCCACCGGGGGCAGAGUGCAGGUCUGUGAGGCAGAAGGCUGGGCUUCCCGUUCUGAUUCUGGUACGCACUCACCGGGGCCUUGAAUUCCUCAGAUGGCCUCGAGACGGGAGCAAGAGCUGCCUUCCAGAAGCUUCUGCCUGGCUGAGCCCAUGGUCCCUGGCUUGCUGUGUUUCCCUCUAUUCAGUGGCCUCGCGCCCCUGUGCCCCGUGCCCUGAGACAGGCUCUCCACCUCUCGUCUCUGUCUUUUCCUGACAGCCAGGCUUCCGUUUGGCCUCACCGUCCAUGGGCUCGCUGCCUCCCAUGUGGGAGGAACGCUACACUCGCGGCCCGGCAGGUGGAGGAGCCCGCCCCCAGGACAGCCCUGCAUCUCUCCCGGGGUCCCUCAGGCAGACCUCCUCAGGCACCCGGCUCAGAAACAACCCGUGUCCCCCCCACCCCCAGGAUUUCGGAGGGCCAGCCGAGUGUGGAGGGUUCUGAGCUGCCUGAGGGCAGAGUGAGCCCAGCGGGCAGGAAGGAGCCGGGGGUGGGGUGGGGGGUUGCCUGGACCUCUGCACGCUCUGCGUUAAACGCCGGCCCCUGUGCGGGGUCCAGAGGGGACCCCUGCGCCCUGUCUUGCUUGGAGAGCUCCACCUACAAAAGUCCAAAGUCGUUUGGUAGCAUUCCUGUGGCUGGUAGUCCGCUCUGUGCGCUCCCAGUUCCUAGACUCUAAAUGCACACAGACUGAACAGUUCCUAGAGCGGCUUUUAAUCCUUUGCGUAUAGCGGUGAUUGAGUCCCAGGUUCAGGUUGUUUUACCCUCAGGAGCCUCUUCGCUUCAGGGGACAUGGUGGGCCCGACAGUGCCAGAGCCAGAGGGGGCUCCCCCGUGUGGGCCCUGCCCUUGGGGUCACCUCCGCCUCCGCAGCCUGAGCCUACCCCAAGCAGGGGACACGAUCAUUUCCAAGAAAGGCGCAGAAAUCACUUUCAGAUCAAAGAAUGGUUUCUCUGUGAAACAGAAACAGACUUUUUGUGGCCUUUCACCUGUGAGUUUGGAAGUUUGGGGGGUUUCAUGUUUGCUUUUUCCUUGUUUCCUGGAGAGAACUGGGGAUUUCCUUAGAUGUGUCCAUCAGGUUGACGCUGUGACCCGGGGCUGCGCUGGACACCGAGGGGAUGCGGACCAGGGGAACAAGCCUUGCAGCCACUUCUGUCUGUUGGGGUGCAGACAACUCAAGGCUCGGUCCUGGAAGGCAGGGACCGUCGGUGACUGAGGCCGGGCGUGAUGGGGAGUACCGUGACUCGGGCGGCCCGGCCCCCUUCCUUCCGGCUCUGUCCCAGGAGCCUCGACAGGGAAGCCCACGGCAGUCCGAUCGGCCUGCAGGAGCGCUCUGUCCUCUCGACUCCCCAUCCUACUCCUUGGUUGUGAUUCUUGGAGGCCAUCCCGUGACCAGUAAGAAAACAGACAGGACUAGAAGGAUCUCUGACGCAAGAGAUGCAGCCCCCACCCCGAGGAAUCUUGCGCCAGACCGGAAUAAGAGUUAAAACCACAGAGGGUCUCAUCCCAGUUUGGAGGAGCGCGUCCUGUGCCAGGCCUGCGCAGCCAGGAGGGGACUGUGUGUGGACCCUCUGUUGGCACGGCGUCCAGCCAGGCCCCGCCCAGACUCCUCUCCCAGCUCUGCCGGGACGCACUCCCUCACUCACACCCCCUCACUCACACCCCCUCUCCUUGGGCCCGGCAGGCCGGCCUUCCACAGAACAGGCCGGAGCCUUGGGGGAGGACACAAGGCAGCCAUUUUGAGGCUCACACAGGACUUGGCUGGUGACGGUGGCUGUGGCCGUGGAGGUUCUAGAACAUUCUACCUACGUCUCCCUCCCACGAGUUUUGUUUUUAGCUGUGGUUUCAGGGAGUGAUAGAGCCAUCGCAAACAGCCGCGUUCUCUUCUGCUUCCUGAUAUAUUAAACCCACCCCCUUUGCUGUUUCAUGAAUCCCUUGUGGAGAACGGGAGCGUGCUGAGAGUUGAUGGAACUGCCGUCAGGGAGCUCGGACCUUCAGCCAGUAAAGAAACCGUAUCUCCCCCCAGAUUAGCCACACGUGACCGUGACCUCCCAUCCACGUCUGCCAGCCUUAGCCAAGAGAUGGGACGGGCCCUGGGGAAAUGAGUGGUGGCCUCAACCUUGUACAUCAGCCCUUGGGAGCAGCCGAGCUCUGCUGGGACCGUGACCUCCACCCACCUGGGCCCACCUGUUCCCUGCCAGUUAGGACCUGUCGCCUAGCCAGACCAGUCAAAGCGCUAGUGAGUCACGAGUCAGGACACAAGUGGUCCUGGUCGUACCGGAAACUAGGAGUCUGGUCGUCACUUGCCAGGGACCCAUUCCCUCCUCCCUCCAGCCAGUCCUUGUGUGGUGUGUGGUAAGGGGGCCGCUCCCCCUUUCCCUCCGCUGCAGGGGUCUGGGACAACCUGAGAGGCACCUGCCAUGGUGCCGGCAGCCAUUCAUGGAGAGAGCUGCCUGGGUCUUGUGGCCAAAGCUGGUUUUGUGGUCCAGCAACCAGCCAAAGCCUGUGUGGGGGCACCGACCGGGAAGGGAGAGGCUGUGCCAGACGCGGGGCGGCUGGCUCCCCGGGACAGCCUCGUUCUCCUUCGGAGGUGACAGGCUUCCGUGGACAAUGUCAGCACCUCAUCAUUUCCCUUGUAGCCUUUCUUCGUAUGGCCGUGAGCUGUGCUGUGGAUAAAUCAUCAUUUGUAUUUCUUGAAUGUUCUCUAGGACUAACAGUUAUUGAGUUGGUUGUGUAUAUGUGUAACUAAUGUAACUGCCUUUUAAAAUUCCAUUACAAUAAAAAUGACUUUGCUCUGAACAGUGAA